AUGGACAGAAGGUCUGUCAUCGCUUGUUUUCUGGUGAUGCUUGUGUUGUUCGAAAGCGCAUCUGCAGACUGUGAGGAUGUUCAAUUUCAGAUCUUGUUCUGCAUCAAAUCAUCAUGCGAGGAUAUAUGCAAGUUUCAGUGGAAGGGUAAGAAGGUCUACAACCCUUGGUGCGAUAAGUUCUUCGGUGGCUACUGCCACUGCAAGAUUUGCCAUGAUUAA
rnacentral:rRNA from 1 species